rnacentral:rRNA from 1 species
UACGUAGGGUGCGAGCGUUAAUCGGAAUUACUGGGCGUAAAGAGCUCGUAGGCGGUCUGUCGCGUCUGCUGUGAAAAUCCAGGGCUCAACCCUGGACCUGCAGUGGGUACGGGCAGACUAGAGUGCGGUAGGGGAGAUCGGAAUUCCUGGUGUAGCGGUGAAAUGCGCAGAUAUCAGGAGGAACACCGGUGGCGAAGGCGGAUCUCUGGGCCGUAACUGACGCUGAGGAGCGAAAGCAUGGGGAGCGAACAGG